GGACAUUUGGAUUGUUUCCAGUUUGGGGCUAUUAUGAAUAAUGCUACUAUGAACAGCUGCAUACAAGUCUUUGUGUGGAUAUAUGUUUCAUUUCUCUUGGUGGGUUCUACGAGUAAAAUAGACGGUCCUCUUUUUAAAUGUCCAUCAACUGAUGAUCACUCAGACUGCUAUAAGGAAAUGGAGGUAAAAGUGGAAGUGGAUUACUCAGGAAGCGACAAUGAUAAUCCAGAUAAAGGUCAUGUGAUCACAGAGGGAGACAGCAGCUGCCUACAAGCCCAGAGAAGAGGCCUCAGAAUGAAACCUAUCUUGCCAACACUUUGAUCUUGGACUUCUCAGCCUCUAGAACUGUGAG